AUAGUUUACUGACUUUACUCUAGUAGUUAAACUAACCUAAAGUAUCAAAUAGUCUCCUUAUUUGUGUUCUACAUAAUUCUGCAUGCUUAUCAAUUUCUAUUAACCAUUUCUUUUUACUACACACAAGGUUUAUAUUAUAACCUUAGACCACAUAUAGUAUUACAAUAAUUCUUUUCUCCCAAAUUCAAGGAACUAACAAUAUAGAAAUAUCAUAGGAUAUCCAUUCAAUCAUAACCAUAAAUUAUCUUUUCA
rnacentral:lncRNA from 1 species